rnacentral:miRNA from 1 species
AGUUUUGCUGGUUUGCAUUCAGC